rnacentral:lncRNA from 1 species
GUCACAUAGCACUCCUGUCUCCCGUUUGACUUCAUAUAGUGAAAAUUGUCUAAAAGAUAAGGCAGGAGCUCUGGUUGACACCCCCCCUGCCCCCGCCUCAUAGAUCUCUCUCUAGAAGCAUUGGAAGAGGCCGUCUCAAAAAAGAAAAAUAAAAUAGAAGCAUUGGAGGAAAGAUGUGGUUUGUAGUGAAACAAAUUGGAAGUCAAGCUCAGCCUCAACCACUUACUUGCUUCUGACCUUGGGAACUUAGGCCAGCUCCCAUCCAGUUCAAUCAGGUUGGGACCACCAGUUCUUCAAUGGGCCUGCCCAAAUGCCCAAGAAGUGGACUUUUGAUGUCAGAGGGCCAAAGAUCCCGCCCUCAGAUCAUGCUAAUGCCACCACUUUCUGUAC